rnacentral:rRNA from 1 species
UACGGGGGGAGCAAGCGUUGUUCGGAUUUACUGGGCGUAAAGGGCGCGUAGGCGGCCAGCACAAGUCAGUUGUGAAAUCUCCGAGCUUAACUCGGAAAGGUCAACUGAUACUGUGCGGCUAGAGUGCGGAAGGGGCAACUGGAAUUCUUGGUGUAGCGGUGAAAUGCGUAGAUAUCAAGAGGAACACCUGCGGCGAAGGCGGGUUGCUGGGCUGACACUGACGCUGAUGCGCGAAAGCCAGGGGAGCGAACGGG